UGCUCUUUCUAGGAAGUUCCCCUUUAAAACGCGAAGUACGCAUGCGUUACAUCCUUUCUACCCAAGAGCAGGAAAGGAGCUGGUCACAUAUUUUAUACGUUGCAGCAUAACUUGAGGAGCCAGAUGAAGAUGGCUGCAGCCACUGGAAGAGAUCGUGGCAUUUGGCACUGGAAAUGGAUAACAUGAAGUACAGAUGAAUUAAAACUGAUCUAAGGAUUACCACUAGAAAAAGGGUGCCCUGAGAAGUGCAGAUGAAGACCGGUCCAGGGAUCGCCACUGGAAAAGGGUGACAUGGGAAGUGCAGAUGAAUAAAUGGCUCAAGGAUUGCCACUGGUGAAACCUGAGAGUUGCAGAUGAAGAGAGGUCCAAAGAUUACCACUAGGGGGAAAAAGGGUGACCAGAGAGGUGCAGAUAAAUGAAGUCUGGUUGCGUAGGUUUGCACAAAAUGCAAGAUGUGCUUGUGGGAUUCUUCCAACAUGAGGUCCCUCUGGUGCAAGGAGUCCAGGUCACGGAGAGCACAAGGAAACACUGCAUCAGGUGGAAAAACAAGCGCAGAGGCUCCUGCAUUCCCAAGACAAAUGUUCUCAUUCCCAAACUCUAUCAUGUACUCAUUGUAACAGCAGCUUGAUCCUAACUAUAAACUAGCAUUGAAGUGCUAAAAGGUAAAUGGGUUAUGAUCAAAUGAACAUAAAAUUAAAAAUAAAUUCUCAGUGAAACCUUUUUAAUUGUGUAUUCAUAUGGGUUAGACUCGAGAAGGAAAUCAUUUUGGGGAACUAACCAUGUUUUAGGGUGACUGAACUUUCGCACAGCAGAACUGCAAUUACUGCAUCUUCCUCCAGAACUUGUGUUCUUAAACUGAGUUUAGCAUGAGCCUGGGCCAAAGCAAUCCUGCCAGAACCAAUAAACAAUGUCAUUUGUGUUUGAAAGUUAUUUUUUUAUUUGCUACCAGUUGUUUGCUGUUUUAGCUGAAUAUAGUCUUAAAGACUUAUGUGCAUCUCUAAAUAAACUGACGUGGUAUUUUGUGGUAAAUUGUUAAA